ensembl:lncRNA
CACCUGUAGGAUUUGCAGUAUAUGAUACAACACAUUUUGAAGACUCCUGGCAUUAUUGCUUCAUAUACUUUAAAUAUUUUGAGGAGGAAAGGGGUUAGGGUAGGAUAAAUAAAAACUACAUUUAAAAAAAAGCACACUGGAAUUUGAUUUCAGUUUAAUUCUUUGAGACAAAAUGGACCAUGAGCAAACCUUUCCUAACACAAUCAGGGGUCCCUGACACCAAAUUAAAUCCUCCAUUUAAUCCUGGUAAAAAUAAAAAUACAGCUGGUAUUAAAGCAAUUAAAGCACACAUCCUUUAAAAUAAGAAAUAUGAUUACAAUACCAACAUUUUUUUAAUAUAAAAUUCAGCAAGAGUAAGAUAUAAAGCCAGACACCCCACAUACGUUGAAUUAUAAGCAGGCCUUUGAGACAUAACUAGCAGCAACAUAAUCCAAGGGCCUGGACACCCACCCACCCCACAGUGCAGCUACCAAUCUGUGUCAACAUUACAAUGAAAUGAAGCCUUUGUGGCAAAUAAAUACAUUUCUCUCUCCAAUGAACUAACUGAGAUUACCUCUAGUUGGAGCGCAGUGUGUGCAGUCAGCCAGAACAGCUUUUUUUUCCUUCUUCCUUUUUAAAAUAUAAAUUUUAAGAGUCUGCACAGGAAGUUUUUAACCCAACUUCCCUCAAGCAUGUGAUCCUCUACCAUCAUUACAACACAUCCUAGCAGUGUGAAGACGUACAGAAAAUUGAGAGGUAAUGAGCUUUUACCGUCCCUCUACUAACGUCUGCAGGGAGUUUUAGGGCAGUAUGUAUCCAUGAAGCUUGAGUGGACCAGCAGUCUCAGAAUAAAACUGUGAUCCUGAGAAACAUAUCUACAUGGUGGUUUCUCUAACAAAAAGGCACACAAACAUGGAGACACCUUGCAGGUAAUUCUGUCUUCAAGAACACCAGAAACAUGGAUCGAUGGACAUCAGUGCAGAGGACAAACACAUGAUUUACAAUACAAAAAAUAAAAAAUAAAGAUCCAGGCCAUUAAAAAGGUAUACUGCCAUAAAGAAACAUGUAUUUCUUUUCCCCAAUCUCUAAAACAACACUUAAGGGGAAAAAAAGGAACGUGUAUGAACUGAAACCUUUUUGGUUUAAUGCGAAAUAGCCUUGACGUUUUGAUGUUGAGUAGCAGACAAAUACCAUAAUCAAUCUGACUCACAGCUGUAACAGUGUUUAUAAACACUGGUUAACCAAAUCUACCAAAUUAAAGGACGGUUGAGCCUCCAAGUGUCCACCAAAAAAAAUUAAAAAUAAAAUUUAGCAUUAAAGAUACAGUAUGAUGUCAAAAGAUACCCUACUGAGAUCUAAGCUAUUAGUUGUCUAGGAGACACUUAUUUACAUUCCAAUUUUAAGAGAUUUUACACCAAAUUUGCAAUAAUAUUGCUUUAAAUGUAAAAUUUAUAUAUAUGUACACACACACCAAAAAAAAAGAAAAAAAAAGAAAAGGAAAACCUCUUUACUGGCAAAGUAUUUCAGACAUGACAUGCAUGCUUAACUUCUUUUUUUUUUUUUUUUAAAUGAAAGCUUUAAAAAAAAACUCUCAGGAGAGCUUUGGGGGGAGAAAAAACAAAAACAAAACCCACAACAAUAAAAAGGCCCUAUUUGGCUUCAAGUCAAGAUGUCCUGGCUUUGGCUUUGAACGGGCUACCAUUGGCCCAACAGUACCAUUCAGAUUUAAGGGUUUCUGGACUUUGGGUUGCUGUCUGCCUGGACAAAAGUAGAAUCUCGUAGUUUUUUCUUUUUUAUUCACAGCUGCUUCUCAUUCCACUGGGCUCUUCCUCUGACCAGAGCGACCCAAAUUUCGGCAGGCUAAACUACCUG